rnacentral:lncRNA from 1 species
GCUGGGAGGGUCAAUCAGUGUCCAAGGCACCUUUACGGCUAGAACAGUGGCAACCAUACAUCGAGCGAUGGUGGCGACCCUGGCGGUGGAAGUUGACGGUCGGACGGAGGUUGGCCUUCGCUCCGGCGCCAGAAGAAUCCUCAAACAUGUCCGCCCGAACUGGCCUCACGAUAAACUACAUUUCAAGACAUACACCGCGGGCGUUACCAACAUCCUCGUGGGCGUGUGGUGUGAGAGCGAGCGAGACCAGGUGUUGGUGCGUGUGUAUGGUAACAACACCCAUCUCUUCAUAGACAGGCAAGCGGAGAUUAAGACCAUGAAGGUAUGUUUGGCUUUUUUUUUAGCCUCAUGAGGGUUGGGGUAUUAAGAUUGCAGUGGAAUGGCGUGUGAAGUUGUGGUGGGGGGUUUGGUAUUUUGGUUAUUUGUUUUUCUCUAAGAAGGAAUGAACGAUUUUUUUCUCUUUUUUUAUGGGCUUUGAAGGAUACGUUUUUAUUGAU